CCCGCUGAACUUAAGCAUAUCAAUAAGCGGAGGAAAAAGAAACUAACAAGGAUUCCCCUAGUAACUGCGCAGUGAGAGCGGGAGAAAAGCGUCUCAUUUUAAAUCCGGUGGUGCUCUUGGGCCUUCCAGAGUGUGAUAUUAAAAAGAACCGCCUUCCGCGCUGGACCGGGCACAAGCCUCCGGGAACGAACCGCCGUAAAGGGGGAGAAUCCCGCCUUUGGCAUGAACCCACCAGGCCUUUUGCGAUGCGCUCUCGGAGAGUCGAGUUGUUUGGGAAUGCAGCUCAAAAUGGGUGGUGAACUCCAUCUAAAGCUAAAUAUUGGCGAGAGACCGAUAGCGAACAAGUACCGUGAGGGAAAGAUGAAAAGCACUUUGGAAAGAGAGUGAAACAGUACGUGAAAUUGUUGAAAGGGAAACGCUUGAAGUCAGUCGCGUCGUCCGAGACUCAGCCUCGCCUUGGCUUGGCGUACUUCUCGGCCCGACGGGUCAGCAUCAAUUUCGCCUCUCGGAUAAUGGCGAGGGAAAAGUGACACCUUUACGGUGUGUUAUAGUCCCUCGUCGCAUGCGAGGGUCGGGAUUGAGGAACUCAGCACGCGCCCUCGGGCGUCGGGGUUUUCGCCCACGAUACGUGCUUAGGAUGUUGGCGUAAUGGCUUUAAACGACCCGUCUUGAAACACGG
rnacentral:rRNA from 1 species